AGAUAAAUAUGUGGAACAGUGGGUUUAGAACAUUCGACAAACAAAGCUUAGAAGAGAUGGAAAAAAAAAAGUAAAUUGUUUAGAGGCCUAUAGGUCUUGAAAAAAUGUGUCCCUUUUGGAGGCAUAAAGGACGCCUUAUGCUUGGCAAGGGAAGUCCUUCAAAACUUUCGAAGCCUAAAAGAAAUACACAAAACGAAGACAAUUAUGUGGUAUAAAUUCCCGAUAAAGCCAAGGUAUAGUGGAGAAAUUAAUGCCAUAUAAAAAGAAAUGACUUACUUGCACUUCAGAAUCUCUUGAAACCAACUCAGAAACAUCAAUAGAAGCCUUUGUAUAUCUUACUAACCCAUCGGUAAAAG
rnacentral:lncRNA from 1 species